CCACAUAUUCCCUCUCUUUCUUGUGGAAGUUCUAAUCUUUCGUUCUUUCAUCUUUAUGAGAAUUUUGUAGGGCUAUAUAGUGUUACGUGGAAGGAAAGCGUCCAAGGUAAGGGUUUUUCCCCAUGCAGAGUUAGGCUAGAUAUUAAAUUAGCGGUUGGUAGGAUAUUGAUAUAAUGUAUGGAUGUCUUAAAAGAAAAAGGUUG
rnacentral:lncRNA from 1 species